ACACUGCUGAGGAGUCCCACAAUAGGACGAAACGGUCGUUCAAUAC
rnacentral:hammerhead_ribozyme from 1 species